rnacentral:rRNA from 1 species
UACGUAGGGCGCAAGCGUUAUCCGGAAUUAUUGGGCGUAAAGAGCUCGUAGGCGGUUUGUCGCGUCUGCUGUGAAAUCCCGAGGCUCAACCUCGGGCCUGCAGUGGGUACGGGCAGACUGGAGUGCGGUAGGGGAGAAUGGAAUUCCUGGUGUAGCGGUGGAAUGCGCAGAUAUCAGGAGGAACACCGAUGGCGAAGGCAGUUCUCUGGGCCGUAACUGACGCUGAGGAGCGAAAGCGUGGGGAGCGAACAGG